GGUAGAGUGGCUGAAAAUAAAGGCAGUAAAUUGUAAAUUUAUUAAUGGUUCAAACCCUAUACCA
rnacentral:tRNA from 1 species